rnacentral:tRNA from 2 species
GCCCCGGUGGUGAAAUGGUAGACACGCCUGACUCAAAAUCAGGUGCUGAGAGGCGUGCUGGUUCGAGUCCGGCCCGGGGCACCA